rnacentral:rRNA from 1 species
GACGUAGGGGGCCAGCGUUGUUCGGAAUUACUGGGUGUAAAGGGUUCGUAGGCGGUGUGGCAAGUCGGGAGUGAAAUCUCUGGGCUCAACUCAGAGACUGCUUCCGAAACUGCUGUGCUGGAGUGUGGGAGAGGCGCGUGGAAUUGCAGGUGUAGCGGUGAAAUGCGUAGAUAUCUGCAGGAACACCCGUGGCGAAAGCGGCGCACUGGACCACCACUGACGCUGAGGCGCGAAAGCUAGGGGAG